AGAAGGAUUGAGUCGAUAGUGGAGGCUACAUUUGUAAUGCACUCAUGUGACUGAGGAUGAGUAACACUAAAAUAAGCUCGGUGUGCAAAAAAGAACUUGGUGAGUGGAUCAGGUCGUAUGACCCGAUUAUAAAUAUGCAGGUUGACCCGCACUUCACGAUUUAGUCAAGUUAACAAAUUUUCUACAGCAAAAAUAGGCCGAAAUCGGUUGGAUGGAAAAACUCGAUAUGCAAAAAAUAUAGCUGCACAGCACGAUUCAGACACGAUGGCGGUUGACCCAUCCAUCAUUACCAACCAAAAUACUCCGUUGACUGACGACGAGAUCGCUAAAAUUCCACGUAAAUUAUUCUAACUUACAUACAUACAUAAGUUUUGAUAUUUCACUCCUUCUGGCAAUGUCUAAAUUCUACACAGCUUUACUUAAAAUGCACACGUCAGGCAUGCUUUUCUCUGAUCUUAUUAAAGGCAUAACUAAAAAAAUGAAGUAUAUAAACACAAACAACUGUAAAUCCAACACUUGAGAACCUCUACGGAUUUUAUGGAUUUAAGGGGAUAAUUGGCAAAACCGCGCUUUUUCUAUAACCGGAAAGCGGAGAUGUGAAAACUAUAAAGUCUCCUAUUUAAAGGUAAAAAAGGACGUUUUUGCCAAUGCCAACCAAAAACCUUUGCAGCAAAGGCUUUGCUAUUCCGCAAAUUUCUCAAAUACCACACUAUGGUUGGUUUUGUUCUAAUAAGAGGCUUGUUUUAGUAGAGGUAAUAGCGUUCAUGAAAAUCUCCAGUUCAUCCAUUUUUAUUUACUUAUGUAACUUUCAUUAAAUUUCGAUAUUGGAAAAUUAAAUUACUUUGCAACUAAAUACUACAUAUGGUCUGACCAUUUAAAUAAGAGACUUUUUACAUGCAAUGCUUAUGGCGGGCCCUCCUUUAUUUAAACCAUAACUGUUGUUAGUGUUUAGUUAAAUACUUGAUGUUUCAGGCUUAGUUUUAAGAAGGUUCACGAUCAACAGUCUGAGAUAUGUUUUUGUAGAGCACAGUUAUUUUCUAUAUAGAGUAGCAAUAAUGUAAACCGGAAUUUCGAAAGACAGAAAAAAAAUUGAUGUUGAUAACAUUUACACCCUUUGUAGAGGUGAUUUUUGUGAGUUCAACGGUACCAAUAAUUUGGUUCAACUCCGCCCCCUGACCGAGGGGGAGGGGCAGAAAGUCGCAAAAACUGCGAGAUCGUCGAAACUGCGAAAUCGAGCGUUUUUUGAAAUUCGAAAAACAAAAUUUCAAAAAAACUACUUGGAAAAAUUUUGGAUGAAAAUUUUAAGUCUCAGAACACCCCAUAAAUGGGGUAUCGUUGGAAAGGUCUCGGCACGUGGAUUCAGAAUAUAUAUGCUUUAUGGGGUCUGGGACCACCCCUGAUUUUCUAGGGGCCCAUGAACAUUUUUGGUUUCCUCGCAUGCAGACGUUAACACAGAAGCAGAUUGAGAGCUAACAUACCAAAAUACCGACGAAAACUCAAUGGAAAAUUUUUCAAUGCGAAAAAUUCACAAAUCUCCUGGUAGUUACCGAAGUUUUGCCUCUGAAAUUCAAUAUUUUAAGAAUUUUGCCAUCAGUGUUCCAUAAGUUUUGAUAAAAAUUAAUAAAAAUCUCAAUCCCAAAUCUGUAACUAAUGGAAAUUUACGAAUUUUUCCCAUUGAAAAAUAUUCCAUGGUAACCUGACAUUUAAACCACCCUGUAACGACAUAAAUACUUUACGGUAAUUCUAGUAAUUUUUAUGGAUCCGUCUACCAUACCAGGAGUAACAAAGAGACGAAAAAAUAGCAGGAGUUUCAACCCAACCCGAAAUCCCUCUUGAUCUUGCUUGUUGUAUAUUAUUUCAUAUUGGCUGCGCCGUAUUAUUUUUCAUUCUUGUAAUACAUCUAAUAUCAAAUAUUUUUGGGCCGAAUAUGGAUCGUUCGGAUAAUUCAUAUACAACAACUCAAAUGCCCACAUCCUUAUGCAAAGUGAAUCCAUCCCUGCAGUUUGAUGACGCUAAUUCUCUCGUAAACGCAACCGAACUUCUUCCAAAUUGGAAGAACUCGGUGCUCGAUCUAUGUCACGAUUCCGAAACGAUUUUAAUCAUAACGGAGCCCUUAGUGCUACAUGACGAACAAGAAAUCCGUUGUCACGAGCGGGUAAUUGGACUGACGAUUUUUGUCACGUUGACAAAUCUAGAGAUGCAAGCGUUCCUUGACAAGUUUUGUCAAAUUAUACAAAUUUCAUUUGUUGGAGGGGCCGUUUGUCACGUAUCAAAGGAUUCCAGUAUUCAGAGAAAAAUUAUAUUUGCGCAGAAUGUGCAAGCCAUAAGUUUAGAGAAUUUGGAAAACUGUUCAAACUUUUAUGCACGAUUAGGAUAUUACUUGAAAGCUCCGAGAUUAACUAGGGUUAGUUUUAAAUGCACAUCCUUCAAAAAGGAUGAUUUGGAAAGUUUGAAAAUUUUUUUUCUACGACAGCGUAAUGUUACAAGGGUUAAAUGUUCCGAUGAAAAUGGGUGUAUCGAUCUUAAUUUGUCAGAAAUGAGCUUACAAUCCCAAAUUGUCUCGUGUAUUGACAGUAUUUAGUUGUACAUAUAGUUUACUUAAUUAUUGAGAAAUUUAUUAUUAUAUACUAGGUGGCCCACUGAAACUGUAAGUGAAAUGAAACCCUGUGACUUUAACAGUUUUUAUUUUACGAAUUUCUAGUUAAUUUUAACUGAAAGCCAGUUAAUUUCUGAGUAGAAAACAAUUUUUAGUUUUCGAAAUUUCCUCCCUCGGCGUUAACGCAGCGCUACAGAAACCGCCUGCAGUCCUCUGCUGAAGCACGCACUAAUUCCAGGGCAUAGUGUUCCAUUCCGUGGUCAAAAAAUUUUUUCGGAUCCCUAGACUUCUAUGAGACUUAGAACACACGUUUGCCCCUAACUUUGACCAUUUUUCAUAAUCUGGAGAUUCAAAUCCUGAAAGUAGAAUUACCAUUUCCAAGUGGAUGUAAAGUUCGGAAUUUUGUUUUUUACACACGCUUGGGUCAUUUUUUGCACUAUAAGCUCUUGCUGAGUCGUACUCCAAGGUCCAGUCGACUUCAAUGAAUUGGAUCUCACUUAGGGGAUAUGGCACGGACUCGAAAACGUAUUUUAAGAAAUUUGAUCCCCCCACCUUCCCCCCAGUUUCAACAAAAUGUAGAGGAAUUACCCCAAUUUGCCCCCACCUACCAAAAUCAUGACAAAACCUGGAUAAUGUGGCUUUCUGACCUAUUGUCCAUAUUGGGGGAUGUCUCUGACAGAUUUGGCGUAGAUUAGGCCAACUCGCUUGUUAAAAGAUUUUUCCGAUGUUAUAAUCUCCUCAUCUGUAAAUAGAAUCCUCUUCAGUUUUUCUGAGCGUACCGCUUGAAGUUACUCCUGGGUUUCUUUAAUCUGGUCUUCCUUUGGGGAAUGAUCCGCCUGUGGCAAGUACCACAUUUCAAAGGCCUAAGUCUAAGGUUCAAUUUGAGGGCUCAUUGGAUAAUCUGCUUCUAUUCUGUCACCUGUGAGGUUGGUUUCCGUUGGAAUUUCUUGAAUUUCUUCGGAUUCCAACUUCCAGCGCCUUCAUGAUGGGUGUGGUCUUUGUACGAUUUCAAAAAAUCUUUCUUCGACUGUUCUUAGUCGACCCGGUCCCCAUGAACCUUAUUAUAGUCCGUCGGACAAAAUUAUAGUGCACGUUCGAUUUCUGCCACACUUUUAAAAUUCGCCAUUUUUCUCCCCAUUUUUGUAGUGAAAAAUUUUCGCCGCCCGCUUCCAAUCAAUAUUUUCCAUUCUAAUUUGCUUUGCAAGUAGUAAAAAACUGAUUCGUGGUUCUUAUGCAAAAUCGCACGGGGAAUCCAAUUCAGUCAUCAGAAUUUCAUUAUCUCUAGCCGUUUCGAAGAAAACAGCUACUUACAGCUACAGUGGGCCCAGUAAGUAUUUAUAGCAAUUAAGUAGGUGCAUAAUGUUAAAUAAACAUUGUACAUAUGUUUAUAAAUUGUUUUUAACAUGUGUUAAUAUGUAUGUAUUUACAUAUUUAUCUACUUGUAAUACGAGGCACUUCAUUACACGACAUUAUAGUUUCACGACUAAAGCAGUUAAGCAAUUAUGUAAUUCAUUAAUUACUUACUUUUUGUAGAUUAUUUACAUUGGCGAAAAAUGCAUAUCUACGUUCAUACUUAUUACAAUUGUGCAAACUGCGCACAUAACUAGUCAAGUCAUAAAUAGUUGUGUUAAUGCAUGAUAGUAUGCUGACUUGACGAUGCUUAUCGGAGAAUGAAAUUAGAUAACAGUUGCCACGGAAGAUAAUUUUGAUCGGGGGGACAUAUUAUAUUAUAUCGAGAUCCUCUUUGGCUUCCAACCGUGCACGACGUGUCUCUCUCUCGCUCUGCAACUGGAUUCUCUCUCUUCCAUCUGGGUCGCGGGUGUGCCAGGGCAAGUGAAGUGUGUCCCAGGCUUUUCGCCCUGUGAGCCUCGUCCACUCACACCCCCCAACUGCGUGCCUGGUGACACCCCCUGCCACACCCGUCCCAGCAACGACAAGCCGAGCCAUCAGGCGAAGAUGGAUUCGCCGGACCAAGUGCACGGGAGGAUCUACGCCAUGGAGGACUCCCCCCAG